UCCAUCCAAGGCUAAAUACAAGCACGAGUCCGAUAGCGAACAAGUACCGUGAGGGAAAGUUGAAAAGUACUUUGAAGAGAGAGUAAACAGUGCGUGAAACCGCUCAGAGGUAAACGGGUGGAGUUGAACUGCAAGCUCUGGGGAUUCAGCUGGUGAGUGUGGUUUGAGCUUGGUCAAAUUGGUUGGACUCCGGGGUCUGCGUAGCAGCAGGUCUCUGCCCUCGGGUGGGGAUGCGCGAUGCACUUAUCAAGUGUUGUGCGCUUCGGAUGUUCUUCGGGCCAACUUGCCGGUGCACUUUCUCAGGGUGUUCACCACGACCGGCACUGCUGUCUGGCUGUUGUGGUUAAACCGGUCUUGCAUUGGCCUUGUGUCUUUGCUUGGUCGGGAUGGCAGGUACCUCGUUGGCUUGUCUGUGGCUUGCUGCAGGCGUCGGCUUUCGGGCGUAAUUAGCUGACUACAAUGGUUCUGUGCAGUGUGUCGGAGACGGCGGCUUGUGGUGUGUGCAUGCGUGCCUGGUUGCUGGCGUGUCCGGGUUUGGUUGCUAUGUAGCUUGUUCAAGCAAGCCUAGUGAUGGCUCGGAUUUGUCCGGUGGUCAGUUGCGUGUGUGGCACUAUUUCCAGGGCCAAUAGUCUGUGGUGUAGUGGUAGACGAUCCACCUGACCCGUCUUGAAACACGGACCAAGGAGAGUAACAUGUGCGCGAGUCAUUGGGCGUAACGAAACCCACAGGCGCAGUGAAAGUAAAGGUUUGGCUUGUCCAGACUGAGGUGAGAUCCUGCUGUGUCUCACGCGCGGUACUACCAAGCAUGGAACAGUGGGCGCAUCACCGGCCCGUCCCAUGACGUAGACACAUAGUCUUCGGACCAGUGCACCGUCGGGGCGGAGCAUGAGCGUACAUGUUGAGACCCGAAAGAUGGUGAACUAUGCUUGCGCAGGUUGAAGCCAGAGGA
rnacentral:rRNA from 1 species